UUAAGUUCAGCGGGUAUUCCUACCUGAUCCGAGGUCAACCUUAGAAAGGAGUUUCCCAAUGAAGGGAGAAGACCGGAGCCUGGGUUCCCUUGAUCCGAUACGUGCUCAGUGAAGAAGCUCAGUGUACCGGGGGUUCCAACAGGCCGCCGUCAUUGUCUUUAGGAGGGAUGACGCCCAGAGGGCCUCAUCAAACCGUCCAA
rnacentral:misc_RNA from 1 species